rnacentral:misc_RNA from 1 species
AAGUCGUAACAAGGUUUCCGUAGGUAAGUAAAACAAGAAGCCCUCACUAAAUAUUACUGAGAACCCUCACUAACUUAACUAGGUGAACCUGCGGAAGGAUCAUUACAAAAAAAAAUUGUUUUGGGUAAACCGAAACAGUUUUUCCACCCUUUGUUGGUUGAUAUUCUAUCAAACUAUCCUUUCGGUAGGUACUUCUGGUAUCUGCCAAAGGGAACAAACUCUAUUUUUUACAAGUGUCUGAAUACAAAAUGAUAAUAAAUCAAAACUUUCAACAACGGAUCUCUUGGUUCUG